CGUUUAACCAGAUAUAUUUCUCUUUCAAAUACACUUAAACACGGGUUGUAUGUACGUAUCUUUUCUAGUGUUUUCUUGUCCUUUAAUAUUAAAGUUCAUUUGUUGAUGUUUAAAUAUUUUUGAACGACUGAACACAGGAGUGAAUGAAUGCAACAAUGAUAUAUACUGAAGACUUGGGCUGUACAAUGAUAGUGUACGUAUAUCAUACUGAUAAUUAUUCUAGCAGUAAUUAUGUUAAUUUAGGAUGUAAUGACAGGAAUUCAUGAGCUAUGCCUCAGGCUUUCUGAAAAAAUAUCAAUGACAAUGUAAACAGGAACAAAACAUUGACACGAAUGAUGCUCUCUUCUAUGUUAUAGUUAUUUAGGUAUGUGUGUUGCACAAGUUUCAAAAAAACUUAAGUUAUAAAACUUUUUUUUCAGGGCACAAACCCACUUUAAAGAGACUUGUCUACUGCCAUACCCAUCCUAUUUUCAUGCACCAUUUGCAAGCAAGAGACUGAAUGGUUUGCAAAAUUAAAAAUCAGGACGGUGUCCAAUUAAACCAAAAGAACUAAACUGGAUGAAUAUUGUAGGAGAAAUCUAGAGGAAAGUUUUGAUUUGUGAAAUUGGUUUUCCUGAAAAGUCAUUCAUCCUAGCCUGCAGAAAGGAACUAUAACUAUAACUGUCCACCACCAACUGACGAGCUAAUGUUGAGCUUCACAUAUGGAAUUACUCAAAUACCAUCAAUGUCUAUGUUUUCAGCACAGAUUUCACAAGUUAUGACACAGCUGUGCUUUUUUUUUUAUACCUGUUAAAGAGUUGUAUACUAAAUUUUAUUUUUUUAUCAAUAAAUAUAUCUUGUGUCA
rnacentral:lncRNA from 1 species